rnacentral:rRNA from 1 species
AGUAGCCGCGGUAAUACGUAGGGUGCGAGCGUUGUCCGGAAUUACUGGGCGUAAAGAGCUCGUAGGCGGUUUGUCGCGUCGUCUGUGAAAUUCUGCAGCUUAACUGUAGGCGUGCAGGCGAUACGGGCAGACUUGAGUACUACAGGGGAGACUGGAAUUCCUGGUGUAGCGGUGAAAUGCGCAGAUAUCAGGAGGAACACCGGUGGCGAAGGCGGGUCUCUGGGUAGUAACUGACGCUGAGGAGCGAAAGCGUGGGUAGCGAACAGGAUUAGAUACCCCUGUAGUCCCUGUCUCUUAUACA